rnacentral:rRNA from 1 species
GUCUACUGCCAUACCACCCUGAAUGCGCCCGAUCUCUUCUGAUCUCGCGAAGCUAUGGAUGGUCGGGCCUGGUUAGUACUUGGAUGGGAGACCGCCUGGAAUACCGGGUGCUGUAGGCU